GCUUGUCUCAAAGAUUAAGCCAUGCAUGUCUAAGUACAAGCCGCUAGUUCGGCGAAACCGCGAAUGGCUCAAUAAAUCAGUUAUGGUUCCUUAGAUCCACUCCAUCCUACUUGGAUAACUGUGGUAAUUCUAGAGCUAAUACAUGCACUCGAGCCUCGACCGAGGCCCCGGCAACGGGGUCGCGGAAGAGGCUCGAGUGCAUGUAUUAGAUAAAGCCAACGCUGGGUAAAACCAGUUUCCCUUGGUGAUUCAUAAUAAUUAAGCGGAUCGCAUGGCCUUGUGCUAGCGACAGUCCACUCGAUUUUCUGCCCUAUCAUGGUUGAGAUUGUAAGAUAGAGGCUUACAAUGCCUACAACGGGUAACGGGGAAUUAGGGUUCGAUUCCGGAGAGGGAGCCUGAGAAACGGCUACCACAUCCAAGGAAGGCAGCAGG
rnacentral:rRNA from 1 species